UGGGGAAUAUUGCACAAUGGAGGGAACUCUGAUGCAGCAACGCCGCGUGCGGGAUGACGGCCUUCGGGUUGUAAACCGCUUUCAACCAUGACGAAGCUUUUGUGACGGUAGUGGUAGAAGAAGCACCGGCUAACUACGUGCCAGCAGCCGCGGUGAUACGUAGGGUGCGAGCGUUGUCCGGAAUUAUUGGGCGUAAAGAGCUUGUAGGCGGUUUGUCGCGUCGAUAGUGUAAACACGCAGCUUAACUGUGUGCCUGCUGUCGAUACGGGCUGACUAGAGGAGGGUAGGGGAGAAUGGAAUUCCCGGUGGAGCGGUGGAAUGCGCAGAUAUCGGGAGGAACACCAGUGGCGAAGGCGGUUCUCUGGACCUUUCCUGACGCUGAGAAGCGAAAGCGUGGGUAGCAAACAGG
rnacentral:rRNA from 1 species